GUGUUCCCUAGAUUCAACAGCUUGUUGGCACAUGACACAAGUGUCUGUUAUAUCCAGGUUCCAUUUGAUCAACCUUGCUUUGGUGGGCAGUCUAUCUUGCAGGAGCAGCCAUAGGUUGAAGAUUGCUUUAGGUCGAACAGCAUUCUGUAUUGUUAAGUUCUUCCAUCUGACUCUUGGUGCCUCUCCUAUCUGCUGUAAGUAGAGCUUUCUUAUAGUGCAAUCAGAUUUAUCCAGCAUUUGAUGUUGCUGCAGCAGUACAAUGCCUUCAAUGAUCUUCCUUACCAUCCAACUAGCCUGUUUAGGAACAAUGAUGGUCUCCAAUUGUUUCUGUUUGAUAUACACUGUAUGAAUCCAUUUCACCCAUAGAGCAUCCUUCUUAUGUGCCAGAUCCCAGCUGAGUUUAGCAAUAGCAGCCNNN
rnacentral:lncRNA from 1 species